UAGGGAAUCUUCCGCAAUGGGCGAAAGCUUGACGGAGCAACGCCGCGUGAGUGAUGAAGGUCUUCGGAUCGUAAAACUCUGUUAUUAGGGAAGAACAAAUGUGUAAGUAACUAUGCACGUCUUGACGGUACCUAAUCAGAAAGCCACGGCUAACUACGUGCCAGCAGCCGCGGUAAUACGUAGGUGGCAAGCGUUAUCCGGAAUUAUUGGGCGUAAAGGGUACGCAGGCGGUUUAAUAAGUCGAAUGUUAAAGAUCGGGGCUCAACCCCGUAAAGCAUUGGAAACUGAUAAACUUGAGUAGUGGAGAGGAAAGUGGAAUUCCUAGUGUAGUGGUGAAAUACGUAGAUAUUAGGAGGAAUACCAGUAGCGAAGGCGACUUUCUGGACACAAACUGACGCUGAGGUACGAAAGCGUGGGGAGCAAACAGG
rnacentral:rRNA from 1 species